rnacentral:rRNA from 1 species
CUCCAGGGGUAGGGGUGAAAUCCUGUAAUCCCUGGGGGACCACCGGUGGCGAAGGCGUCCGACUAGAACGGGUCCGACGGUAAGGGACGAAGGCUAGGGGAGCAAACGGGAUUAGAUACCCCGGUAGUCCUAGCUGUAAACGCUGCGGGCUUGGUGUUGGGGGUCCUUCGAGGGCGCCCAGUGCCGGAGAGAAGUUGUUAAGCCCGCUACCUGGGGAGUACGGCCGCAAGGCUGAAACUUAAAGGAAUUGGCGGGGGAGCACCGCAACGGGAGGAGCGUGCGGUUUAAUUGGAUUCAACGCCGGAAAACUCACCAGGGGCGACUGCCACAUGAAGGUCAGGCUGAUGACCUUACCUGAUUGGCAGAGAGGUGGUGCAUGGCCGUCGUCAGUUCGUACCGUAGGGCGUUCUGUUAAGUCAGAUAACGAACGAGACCCCCGCCCUUAAUUGCGACCACAUCCUUCGGGGUGUGGGCACAUUAAGGGGACCGCCGCUGCUAAAGCGGAGGAAGGAGGGGUCAACGGCAGGUCCGUAUGCCCCGAAUCCCCUGGGCGACACGCGCGCUACAAAGGUUGGGACAGAGGGUUCCCACCCCGAAAGGGGGAGGCAAUCCCGAAACCCAACCGUAGUUCGGAUUGAGGGCUGUAACCCGCCCUCAUGAAGCUGGAUUCCGUAGUAAUCGCGGGUCAACAUCCCGCGGUGAAUAUGCCCCUGCUCCUUGCACACACCGCCCGUCAAACCAUCCGAGUGGAGGCCGGGUGAGGGGCACCUUUUUGGGUGUUUCGAACCUGGUUUCCGCAAGGAGGGUUAAGUCGUAACAAGGUAUCCGUAGGGGAACCUGCGGAUGGAUCACCUCCUA